UACGGAGGGUGCAAGCGUUGUUCGGAAUCAUUGGGCGUAAAGCGCGUGUAGGCGGCUUGGCAAGUCGGUUGUGAAAUCCCGGGGCCCAACCCCGGAACUGCAUUCGAAACUGCCUCGCUAGAGUCCCGGAGAGGAAGGCGGAAUUCCCGGUGUAGAGGUGAAAUUCGUAGAUAUCGGGAGGAACACCAGCGGCGAAGGCGGCCUUCUGGACGGUGACUGACGCUGAGACGAGAAAGCGUGGGGAGCAAACAGG
rnacentral:rRNA from 1 species